GGGCCAGGGUGACAGUUGGCAGUUGGAAUGGGGGAACUGUGAGGAAUCUGAGAAGGUUGGAAGUCAGCCCUGACCAGAGGGGAUGGGAUGUGAGAGACGGAUGUCAGGUGGCAUGAGGCAAGGGAAGAAUUUCAGAGGCAGGAAGAAAGUACACAUAAUAGCUCCCUGAGCAGAAACAGAAAUGGGAAGGGAAUAUGAUCUGAGAGAGAGUUUCAUCUGCCUUUACAAUGCCGGAGGCAGAGAUUGGCACACAAGGACAGGGUCUUGUCUUCUGGUAGCUUGUCUAAUACAGGACACAGGCAAGCUCACAAGAAACUGCCUCGUAGGGCUGAGUGAAAUUUGCUGAUAGAGCUGCAGAAUCACAUUCCUCAAAGACAGGAAGGAGCUUAACGGAGAGGCCUGAUGGGAUUUGGAGAGCUGCCUGUUUCCUCUGCACUGCAGGAUGGGAUUGAGCGUGCCCCUGGCUGAGGAAGGAGGGCACAAGGACGCUGCGGCCGACAGGCCAGGACUCUGCACCUUAGGUGCAGGAGAGGAGGUGACAGGAAGCUGAGGCUUGGCUGGCCACAUGCAAAGGCAUGACUCCUGCCCUGCAAUUCAAAGGCACGUACAGACAGAGAAGUAGGCCUGGAGGACGGUGGGGUAGCCCUGCAGGUGUCUCUGCACAGAGCCUGAGGGGUUUGGGCAGACCUUUCUGAACCUGUUGAUGGAAGUCUGAGGAGGUGCCUGGGAGGAACUCCAUCCCCACUUCAUCCUGAGGGGCCAUAAGGCCAGGCUCUGAUCGCUGGCCUUUUGACUAGAAGAGCAGAAAAGUACCUGGGGGGUCCAUUGCAGCAGCAGCCAAGCUGAGCAAGAGCAGAUGUGUUUGUGAGAACAUCUGAGAUGCCCAUGAGGGCCUCCCAGGGAGGGGGUAGCUCCAGGUGGCUUUGCAGGAGGAGAGGAGCCAGGGAAAGCGGAGUGACCACAGGAGCUCAGACCCCAGCUCAGUGCUGCCUGGGGAUGCUCCAGUCAACAUUCGUGCACACGAACCGCCUGUAAUGCCACACUCACACCCCCAAGCCAUACCCACCAUUUCCAGGGCACCUUACAGACUGGAAGCACUUGCCCCCAGACUUCAUCCUUUAUGCUCAUAACGACCCCAUGGAAGCGGGUGCUUUGAUGCCUCGCAGAUGAGGAAAGAGAGUUGGAGAACUUAGGGAAUUUUUCUAACAUCACACAACUCACAGGUCGGGAAUCCAACCUGAAUUUAUCUUCACAUCUUUUCAUAUUGCAUGCUGUUUAAGUUCCAUGGCCCUUUGUUAUAAUCAAUCUUUGCCAUACACUCACAGCUCCCUUCUUUGGGCUUACUCAGUAAACGGCAAGCCCAGCCAAGAUCAACUCUUUGCCUACUACUCCCACCUUCAGAAGCAUGGCUGACCAUGGCUGGAAAAAAAACAAAAAAAAACAAAAAAACCCUCCACUUUGAUGGCCAAAUUCAUGGCCUUUAACCUCAAGUCAGUCCAGUGAGGCUCUGGUGCUGUCUGGCCCAUUCACUCUCCCACUACUGCGGAUAACUAUUUCAUACCUUCUCCUCUGCUUCACAUUCCUGGAAGGAUCCAGGACCCCAGCGUGCAGCAAAGUUAUGGUAGGAAAGCUCCAUCUCUGAUCAUCAGAGAAGGUGCCUGAGGUCUGGAUAUCGGUACCAACCACCUCUGCCCAGUUCCCAGGGAUCAGCUAAAUAUGCAAAUUCCCUAGGGUUUGACAAUGAAUGACUCCCCUGAUACUAAUUCACAUAUUUAACAUGCUCUUUGGGAGUGAUGGCAUUUUGAAGAAGGGUUCAUUAGCGCCUUGUUAUUCUGAGUGGGCAGUGUUAGGGGACCCACAAUGACUGUGCUCUAUGCUGCUCUUCCCUGUCCUGUCUCCCUGUCUGCAUCAGAAAGAAGAUAUGCAACUAACAUAAGGCUAGGAAUGUGUCACCUGGCUGCUUCUCACCUGGGAGGGGUGAGGGGACUUUGGGUGAAACUUGGGGAGAUUCACUGCAGCUCCCACUUCUCCUGGGAUGCACCAGGCCAGCAGAGCUGCCAUCUGUUUUACUCUGGUUCCAUGCACCACCUCUACACAAUGAGCACCAAGCAGAGAUGUCAUUUGAGUGAAAGUGAUGUCAGUUGACAAACGGUAACUCUUUUAAACUUCACUGCUCCUUCCAUCCUGUCGAGGGCCACAGAGCAGAGAGGUCAACGGGGCCCCAGUCUCUCCCUACCUCAUGACCGUGGUCCUGUGGUUUGCAGGCUUCUUUGUGAACCAGUAAUUCUUUAGGGAGCUUAAAAAUAUUAGAAAAUUUUUAUUUAAAAGCAUUAGAUUUUUGUAACGUUCUAGCUCCAUAACUAUCUAAAUGGCUCCUAGAAACAAGCAGACAUUUCUUUCUUAGGCUCUAAGUUGAGGUGACCUUCCUUAGUGGUGAAUACUGUUUGUCAAAACCACAAAUCUCAGAGUUGACUCUGGCAGGUUGAGUGUCCAUGCAGACACCAGGGAAUGCAGAUGGUACAUAUCUGAGUCCAGGUAAGACCCAAGUAAGAGUCCCUUAAGGGUGAGACACAACAGGAAUCAAAGUUGAAGAAGUGACAGAUGUCUAUAAAGUCCCCUUGGUGGAAGAGCUGGUCCCAAUGGCUGAGGCUGGAGCUGGCAUCCUUCUGACAGGGAGACCAGGCUGGGUAUUCUGCUCAAGUCAGCCUGUUGGAUGCCCUGGCUACACAUACACUUGAUAGCUCUGGGGAAACCCAAGUCCACAGGCUGAGCCACAGGAAGAUUCUAGUCCAGGAACUGCUGGACUGGGGUGGGGGACAGGGGCAGGUAGAAGCAGAGAUUCAGGGCAUAGGAGAACUAAGUCCUGAGUGCUUUUAAGAGCUAGGAAGCAGUGCUCGCAUCAAAGCUGACUUCUCUGCAGAGCCACUGUUGAAGACCCAGAGGAGCAGAGCAAGAACCGCAUCUGAGCACCAAGACUUCUCUCUGGUCUCAGGCCCCAGGCAGUGUGGCCUUCUGUCCCGUCCCCAUGCCUGCCAGGCCAAUUCCCUCCUCUUAGUUCUGGUCAUGAGGGGCCCUUGCACUUCCAGGCCCCCCAUCACCCUCAUCAUUCCACUUAUGGAAAUCUCUCUCAUGAACUUCCCAAGCCCCCACCUGCUUGCUAGACCCCUCAAUAUCAGGCUGCUUUCUGGGAGCCCAUUGCUUUCUCAAAGCCCCACACCUCUGAGAGUUGCAGACCUGGGAAGUGAAGCAGAAGCUUCUCAGGGUACCAUGAGCACUGUGCAGGGACAGAGACUGGAGCCCCACCCUGCGGGCUUCUGGCUUGGCCCGGCCCUGCAAAGUCUCAGGUCAUGUGGCCUGGAGUUUCUGUAACAAUCUAAGGUUGUUACAAUCUAAGGUUGUAACAAUCUAAGGUACCAAGUCUAAGGUUCUAAGCAGACACUGCUGCCUCUUCAUGCUGCUCAAAUAAAACAGUGAUGGGGAAAAGGAAUGUGAGAUCAAGAGUUCCAAGGUGAAUGGGGUGUGUCAGAGAGCGGGAAGGAGUGGGUGGCAGACCUAGGGACGAUUUUUCCUCUCCACUCUCUAAAAUGACUUUCACACCUUUUUAUCUCUUCUCAUACCUCCAACAGCCCUGACUCUCCUUACUCUCAGCCACUACAUUGCUUCCUGUUUAGCUGAGAAAACAUGUAAACUACCCCAGAUUUUAUUAGUAGCCAUUCUUCCUCUUAAGCACUGGACCCCACCCUACUUCCUAUUCAAGGACAUCCCUCCUGCAAUUGACCUCUAUCCACCUGCAUCAUUAGUUUUUCCCUCUCUGUGGGAUCAUUUCUGAGCAAAUCAUCCUGGGAUGGUGAACUUUUAAAAGUCAACUCGACAGAGGUAUAAUUUGUGUAUAAAAUGCACCCAUUUAAGAUGUGAAGUUAGAUGAGUUUGACAAAUGUAUACACCUGUGGAGUCACCACCAUAGCCAUCACAUUAUAUAAAUUCCCAUCACCCUCCAAAGGUUUCCCAUCACUGAGUAGUAUUCCCUUGUAUGGAUACAGCACAGUUUGUUUAUUCAUUUGCCUAUUGGUGUACAAUUGUGUGGUUUCUACUUUUUGGCUAUUAUGAAUAAAAAGUGCAGUGAACAUUCAUCGAUGAGUCUUUGUGUGGACAUAUGUUACCAUUUCUCUCGAGUAAAUACAAGUGGAAUAACUGAGCUAUGUGAUAUGUAUAAUUUUAUGAGAAACUUCCAAACUUCUUCAAAGUGGUGGUACCACUUUACAUUUCAAUGGCAGUCUAUGAGAAUUCCAGAUACCACACUUGGUAUUGUCAGGUUUUUCCCCCUAACGUUAGCCCUUCUAUUUUGUGUUUGUGUGUGGAGGUAUUUUCAUUUUGGUUUUAAUUUGCAUUUCUCUGGUGACUGAUGUUGAACCUCUUGUGUUUAUUGGCUAUCCAUAUAUCUUGUUUUAUGAAGUAUAUGCAUAUCUUUUGCUUAUUGUAUUGUUAUAGUUUUCUACAUAUCACCACACAUUUGUCAGCCUAAACCAA
rnacentral:lncRNA from 1 species